UAUACAGCAGUGUUUUGGGCACGAAGAAUUUUGAUUUCUUAAGAGAGGUUCAUUACCUCCUGAU
rnacentral:tRNA from 1 species